GCCACAGUGGCGAAGUGGUUAGCAUUAUUGCCUCACAGCAAGAAGGUCGUGGGUUUGAUUCCGGCCUGGGGCC